GACGAACGCUGGCGGCGUGCUUAACACAUGCAAGUCGAACGGAAAGGCCCUGCAUUUGUGGGGUGCUCGAGUGGCGAACGGGUGAGUAACACGUGAGUAACCUGCCCUUGACUUUGGGAUAACUUCAGGAAACUGGGGCUAAUACCGGAUAUGAGCUCCUGCUGCAUGGUGGGGGUUGGAAAGUUUCGGCGGUUGGGGAUGGACUCGCGGCCUAUCAGCUUGUUGGUGGGGUAGUGGCUUACCAAGGCGUUGACGGGUAGCCGGACUGAGAGGGUGACCGGCCACAUUGGGACUGAGGUACGGCCCAGACUCCUACGGGAGGCAGCAGUGAGGGAUAGUGCACAAUAGGCGGAAGCCGGAUGCAGCAACGCCGCGUGCGGGAUGACGGCCGUCGGGUUGUAAACCGCUUUCGCCUGUGACGAAGCGUGAGUGACGGUAAUGGGUAAAGAAGCACCGGCUAACUACGUG
rnacentral:rRNA from 1 species